rnacentral:rRNA from 1 species
UACGUAGGGUGCGAGCGUUAAUCGGAAUUACUGGGCGUAAAGCGUGCGCAGGCGGUUCGUUGUGUCGGUGGUGAAAGCCCCGGGCUUAACCUGGGAAUGGCCAUGGAAACUGGCGAACUGGAGUGUGGCAGAGGGGGGUGGAAUUCCGCGUGUAGCAGUGAAAUGCGUAGAGAUGCGGAGGAACACCGAUGGCGAAGGCAGCCCCCUGGGUUAGCACUGACGCUCAGGCACGAAAGCGUGGGGAGCAAACAGG